rnacentral:rRNA from 1 species
GAUGAACGCUAGCUACAGGCUUAACACAUGCAAGUCGAGGGGAAACGGCAUUAAGUGCUUGCACUUUUUGGACGUCGACCGGCGCACGGGUGAGUAACGCGUAUCCAACCUUCCCAUGACUAAGGGAUAACCUGCCGAAAGGCAGACUAAUACCUUAUGGUCUUCACUGACGGCAUCAGAUGUGAAGUAAAGAUUUAUCGGUUAUGGAUGGGGAUGCGUCUGAUUAGCUUGUUGGCGGGGUAACGGCCCACCAAGGCAACGAUCAGUAGGGGUUCUGAGAGGAAGGUCCCCCACAUUGGAACUGAGACACGGUCCAAACUCCUACGGGAGGCAGCAGCGAGGAAUAUUGGUCAAUGGGCGAGAGCCUGAACCAGCCAAGUAGCGUGCAGGAUGACGGCCCUAUGGGUUGUAAACUGCUUUUGUAUGGGGAUAAAGUCAAUCACGUGUGAUUGUUUGCAGGUACCAUACGAAUAAGGACCGGCUAAUUCCGUG